UACGAAGGGGGCUAGCGUUGUUCGGAAUUACUGGGCGUAAAGCGUGCGCAGGCGGUUUUGUAAGCCAGAUGUGAAAGCCCCGGGCUUAACCUGGGAAUGGCAUUUGGGACUGCAAGGCUCGAGUGCGGCAGAGGAGACUGGAAUUCCUGGUGUAGCGGUGAAAUGCGCAGAUAUCAGGAGGAACACCGGUGGCGAAGGCGGCUUGCUGGGCCAGUUCUGACGCUGAGGAGCGAAAGCGUGGGGAGCGAACAGG
rnacentral:rRNA from 1 species